rnacentral:rRNA from 1 species
UAGGGAAUCUUCGGCAAUGGGGGCAACCCUGACCGAGCAACGCCGCGUGAGUGAAGAAGGUUUUCGGAUCGUAAAGCUCUGUUGUAAGUCAAGAACGAGUGUGAGAGUGGAAAGUUCACACUGUGACGGUAGCUUACCAGAAAGGGACGGCUAACUACGUGCCAGCGGCCGCGGUAAUACGUAGGUCCCGAGCGUUGUCCGGAUUUAUUGGGCGUAAAGCGAGCGCAGGCGGUUUGAUAAGUCUGAAGUUAAAGGCUGUGGCUCAACCAUAGUUCGCUUUGGAAACUGUCAAACUUGAGUGCAGAAGGGGAGAGUGGAAUUCCAUGUGUAGCGGUGAAAUGCGUAGAUAUAUGGAGGAACACCGGUGGCGAAAGCGGCUCUCUGGUCUGUAACUGACGCUGAGGCUCGAAAGCGUGGGGAGCGAACAGGAUUAGAUACCCUGGUAGUCCACGCCGUAAACGAUGAGUGCUAGGUGUUGGGUCCUUUCCGGGAUUCAGUGCCGCAGCUAACGCAUUAAGCACUCCGCCUGGGGAGUACGACCGCAAGGUUG